AGAGUUUGAUCAUGGCUCAGAACGUACGCUGGCGGCACGCCUUAUACAUGCAAGUCGAACGAAGUAGCAAUACUUAGUGGCAGACGGGUGAGUAACAUGUAGGUAUCUGCCCUUUGGCCUGGAAUAACACGAGGAAACUUGUGCUGAUACCGGAUAAGUCUUUACGGAGAAAGCUUUAUGCACCAUUGGAUGAGCCUGCACUUGAUUAGUUUGUUGGUGGGGUAACGGCCUACCAAGACUGUGAUCAAUAGCUGAUUUGAGAGGAUGAUCAGCCACAUUGGGACUGAGACACGACCCAAACUCCUACGGGAGGCAGCAGUGGGGAAUCUUGCACAAUGGAGGAAACUCUGAUGCAGCGAUGCCGCGUGAGUGAAGAAGGCCUUUGGGUUGUAAAGCUCUUUCGUCGGGGAAGAAAAUGACUGUACCCGAAUAAGAAGGUCCGGCUAACUUCGUGCCAGCAGCCGCGGUAAUACGAAGGGACCUAGCGUAGUUCGGAAUUACUGGGCUUAAAGAGUUCGUAGGUGGUUGAAGAAGUUGGUGGUGAAAUCCCAGAGCUUAACUCUGGAACUGCCAUCAAAACUUUUCAGCUAGAGUAUGAUAGAGGAAAGCAGAAUUUCUAGUGUAGAGGUGAAAUUCGUAGAUAUUAGAAAGAAUACCAAUUGCGAAGGCAGCUUUCUGGAUCAUUACUGACACUGAGGAACGAAAGCAUGGGUAGCGAAGAGGAUUAGAUACCCUCGUAGUCCAUGCCGUAAACGAUGUGUGUUAGACGUUGGAAAUUUAUUUUCAGUGUCGCAGCGAAAGCGAUAAACACACCGCCUGGGGAGUACGACCGCAAGGUUAAAACUCAAAUGAAUUGACGGGGACCCGCACAAGUAGUGGAGCAUGUGG
rnacentral:rRNA from 1 species